GCGUCCCGGUUGAUGAAGUUGAGUGCUUGCACUUAAUUGAUUCAACUUGGUGACGAGUGGCGAACUGGUGAGUAACACGUGGGUAACCUGCCCCGAAGCGGGGGAUAACAUUUGGAAACAGGUGCUAAUACCGCAUAACAACCAAAACCACCUGGUUUUGGUUUGAAAGACGGCUUCGGCUGUCACUUUGGGAUGGACCCGCGGCGUAUUAGCUAGUUGGUGAGGUAACGGCUCACCAAGGCGAUGAUACGUAGCCGACCUGAGAGGGUAAUCGGCCACAUUGGGACUGAGACACGGCCCAAACUCCUACGGGAGGCAGCAGUAGGGAAUCUUCCACAAUGGACGCAAGUCUGAUGGAGCAACGCCGCGUGAGUGAUGAAGGGUUUCGGCUCGUAAAACUCUGUUGUUGGAGAAGAACGGGUGUCAGAGUAACUGUUGACAUCGUGACGGUAUCCAACCAGAAAGCCACGGCUAACUACGUGCCAGCAGCCGCGGUAAUACGUAGGUGGCAAGCGUUGUCCGGAUUUAUUGGGCGUAAAGCGAGCGCAGGCGGUUUUUUAGGUCUGAUGUGAAAGCCUUCGGCUUAACCGGAGAAGUGCAUCGGAAACCGGGAGACUUGAGUGCAGAAGAGGACAGUGGAACUCCAUGUGUAGCGGUGAAAUGCGUAGAUAUAUGGAAGAACACCAGUGGCGAAGGCGGCUGUCUGGUCUGCAACUGACGCUGAGGCUCGAAAGCAUGGGUAGCGAACAGGAUUAGAUACCCUGGUAGUCCAUGCCGUAAACGAUGAGUGCUAAGUGUUGGAGGGUUUCCGCCCUUCAGUGCUGCAGCUAACGCAUUAAG
rnacentral:rRNA from 1 species